rnacentral:rRNA from 1 species
CAAUAUUUCAAUGUAUCAGACCAAAGUAAAAUCAGUGGCAAUGUGGCAUGGACUGAUAAACAUUGGACAAACAAGCAAUUCAAUUUCAGUUUUACAAGCAAUCACUGAAAAAUCUCCAGAUUUCUUUAAAAACAGAGGGAAAGUAUACCUUGUGGAUGCUAAACUAGAUGUAGAUCAGUAGAUGGAUGCAAAAUUUCCAGGACGAAGCCGUGGAGGACUGGAGGGCGGAGGUGAGCCGGGAGGGCGCUGCCACGCUGGGGCUGGGGCGCUGGACGCCUACUUGGGCCGGGGAGCCGCCAGCAGGGAGGCUGGAGGCGGACUGGCGCCUGGCGGAGCCACGCCACCGCGGGGGCCGGGGCAGAGGGCAGGAGGGCGUCUGGGCAAGGGCGGGCCAGCAGGGGAGGUUAGAGGGCCGACCGGAGGGGAGGGGACCGAGGGGGAAGGCGAGGGAGGAAGAAAGGAGAGGGCCGACCUAGCCGCCGGAGCCAGACCUGGUUUCUGAGGAGGCUGAAUCGGGGGUUGGGGGAAAGAGGGUCGAUUCAAU